rnacentral:rRNA from 1 species
AUUGAACGCUAGCGGGAUGCCUUACACAUGCAAGUCGAACGGAGUGGCGGACGGGUGAGUAAUAUAUCGGAACGUGCCUAGUAGCGGGGGAUAACUACUCGAAAGAGUGGCUAAUACCGCAUACUAUUGGAGCGGCCGAUAUCGGAUUAGCUAGUUGGUGGGGUAAAGGCUCACCAAGGCCACGAUCCGUAGCUGGUCUGAGAGGACGACCAGCCACACUGGGACUGAGACACGGCCCAGACUCCUACGGGAGGCAGCAGUGGGGAAUAUUGGACAAUGGGGGAAAGCCUGAUCCAGCCAUCCCGCGUGUAUGAUGAAGGCCUUCGGGUUGUAAAGUACUUUUGGCAGGGAAGCGGUAUCUGCAGAAGAAGCACCGGCUAACUACGUGCCAGCAGCCGCGGUAAUAC